GGCGAACGGGUGCGUAACACGUGAGCAAUCUGCCGAUUUCUGGGGGAUAGCCGGCCCAACGGCCGGGUAAUACCGCAUACGCUCGUCGAGGGGAGUCCCUUGACGAGGAAACCUCCGGGGGAAAUCGAGGAGCUCGCGGCCUAUCAGCUAGUUGGCGGGGUAAUGGCCCACCAAGGCGAUGACGGGUAGCUGGUCUGAGAGGAUGGCCAGCCACAUUGGGACUGAGAAACGGCCCAGACUCCUACGGGAGGCAGCAGUGGGGAAUCUUGCGCAAUGGCCGAAAGGCUGACGCAGCGACGCCGCGUGUGGGAGGACGCCCUUCGGGGUGUAAACCACUGUUGCCCGGGACGAAUGACCCUUUCGAGGGGAGUGACGGUACCGGGUGAGGAAGCACCGGCUAACUCCGUGCCAGCCGCCGCGG
rnacentral:rRNA from 1 species